CCUCCCAAGCCAGUACCCAAGACUCUGACCCCAUGGAAGGGACCUCAGCAGCUGCAAAUUCCUCAAGCCUCCCUCCUCCAUCCCGAAGGUUAUCACAGAUAAGGCGUCGUAAGAAGAAGACGCGGGAGGACAUGUUUUCUGAAAUUAUGCAAUCCAGCAGGAGUGACAGAGCUCAUCUGAAUGAGUGGAAGGAAACAGUUUCAAAGUAUAGGAAAGAAGUCAGUGAACGUGAGGAGAGGAGGGACCAACGUGAGGAGAGGAGGGACCAACGUGAGGAGAGGAGAGACGAUCGAGAUGAGAGAUGGCGGCAGGAAGACCAGAGGAUGAAGGAUGCAACGCUGGGGCUGCUCCGGCGUCUGGUGGAGGUUCAGGAACGGCUGCUGGAAAACAGACUGCCGCUUCAGCCCCUGUUCCACCCUCCCCCCUCCCCAUGUUCCGUAUCCUCCUCACCCAGACGUGUAAGAACGCGGGGGGGGAGGCUCCGUACACCUUCCCAUUCCACCCCAGUAGACAGCCCAAGCAAAAGGCUGUCAUUUUUUUAACCUUUUCUUUGUGGCUUUCUCCUUCCCAGCAAUCCUCCUCCCAAAUACCACCCGGGUUCCCUCCCUCUUUUUCUAAUCUAUUAAUAAAGAAUAAAUGAUUUUUAAA